UAUCCAGGGAUUGAAUCGAGCCCACAGUGUUCCGCUUACCGGGCAGAUGCCAUGUCCACUAGGCUAACCUGGAC